AUGAGGAACAACCAUGUAGACCCCGCCCUCAACGGGGCCCACUCCCGUAACCAGAGUGCUGACAGUGGUCUGAGUGGCAGCAGCUUCACACGGACUCCUGACGACCUGCUGAACACUGUGGAACUCAUGGAUACAGGUAACACACACACCUUGGUUUAAAUGGGACUAUUUUAAAGGUCAAAUACAAUAAUGUUAUUUAUCACUUCGUCAACAACAGGACUAACAGUGAAAUGCUUGGUAACUGACCGGUUACCAUAGUCACCACAUUAAUAUAUACUGACAGGUUACCAUAGUGACCACAUUAAUAUAUACUGACAGGUUACCAUAGUCACAUUAAUAUAUACUGACAGGUUACCAUAGUCACAUUAAUAUAUACUGACAGGUUACCAUAGUCACCACAUUAAUAUAUACUGAGAGGUUACCAUAGUCACCACAUUAAUAUAUACUGACAGGUUACCAUAGUCACCACAUGAAUAUAUACUGACAGGUUACCAUAGUCACCACAUUAAUAUAUACUGACAGGUUACCAUAGUCACCACAUGAAUAUAUACUGACAGGUUACCAUAGUCACCACAUGAAUAUAUACUGACAGGUUACCAUAGUCACCACAUGAAUAUAUACUGACAGGUUACCAUAGUCACCACAUUAAUAUAUACUGACAGGUUACCAUAGUCACCACAUUAAUAUAUACUGACAGGUUACCAUAGUCACCACAUUAAUAUAUACUGACAGGUUACCAUAGUCACCACAUUAAUAUAUACUGACAGGUUACCAUAGUCACCACAUAUAUACUGACAGGUUACCAUAGUCACCACAUUAAUAUAUACUGACAGGUUACCAUAGUCACCACAUUAAUAUAUACUGACAGGUUACCAUAGUCACCACAUUAAUAUAUACUGACAGGUUACCAUAGUCACCACAUUAAUAUAUACUGACAGGUUACCAUAGUCACCACAUUAAUAUAUACUGACAGGUUACCAUAGUCACCACAUUAAUAUAUACUGAUAGGUUACCAUAGUCACAUGAAUAUAUACUGACAGGUUACCAUAGUCACCACAUUAAUAUAUACUGACAGGUUACCAUAGUCGUCACAUUAAUAUACACUGACAGGUUACCAUAGUAACAUUAAUUUACACUGACAGGUUACCAUAGUCACCACAUUAAUAUAUACUGACAGGUUACAUAGUCACCACAUUAAUAUAUACUGACAGGUUACCAUAGUCACAUUAAUAUAUACUGACAGGUUACCAUAGUCACCACAUUCAUAUAUACUGACAGGUUACCAUAGUCACCACAUUAAUAUAUACUGACAGGUUACCAUAGUCACCACAUGAAUAUAUACUGACAGGUUACCAUAGUCACCACAUUAAUAUAUACUGACAGGUUACCAUAGUCACCACAUGAAUAUAUACUAACAGGUUACCAUAGUCACCACAUUAAUAUAUACUGACAGGUUACCAUAGUAACCACAUUCAUAUAUACUGCCAGGUUACCACAGUCACAUUAAUAUAUACUGACAGGUUACCACAGUCACAUUAAUAUAUACUGACAGGUUACCAUAGUCACCACAUUAAUAUAUACUGACAGGUUACCAUAGUCACCACAUUAAUAUAUACUGACAGGUUACCAUAGUCACCACAUUAAUAUAUACUGACAGGUUACCAUAGUAACAUUACUAUACACUGACAGGUUACCAUAGUCACCACAUUAAUAUAUACUGACAGGUUACCAUAGUCACCACAUUAAUAUAUACUGACAGGUUACCAUAGUCACCACAUUAAUAUAUACUGACAGGUUACCAUAGUCACCACAUUAAUAUAUACUGACAGGUUACCAUAGUCACCACAUUAAUAUAUACUGACAGGUUACCAUAGUCACCACAUUAAUAUAUACUGACAGGUUACCAUAGUCACCACAUUAAUAUAUACUGACAGGUUACCAUAGUCACCACAUUAAUAUAUACUGACAGGUUACCAUAGUCACCACAUUAAUAUAUACUGACAGGUUACCAUAGUCACCACAUUAAUAUACACUGACAGGUUACCAUAGUCACCACAUUAAUAUAUACUGACAGGUUACCAUAGUCACCACAUUAAUAUAUACUGACAGGUUACCAUAGUCACCACAUUAAUAUAUACUGACAGGUUACCAUAGUCACCACAUUAAUAUAUACUGACAGGUUACCAUAGUCACCACAUUAAUAUAUACUGACAGGUUACCAUAGUCACCACAUUAAUAUAUACUGACAGGUUACCAUAGUCACCACAUUAAUAUAUACUGACAGGUUACCAUAGUCACAUUAAUAUAUACUGACAGGUUACCAUAGUCACCACAUUAAUAUAUACUGGCAGGUUACCGUAGUCACAUUAAUAUAUACUGACAGGUUACCAUAGUCACCACAUUAAUAUAUACUGACAGGUUACCAUAGUCACAUUAAUAUACACUGACAGGUUACCAUAGUAACAUUAAUAUACACUGACAGGUUACCAUAGUCACAUUAAUAUAUACUGACAGGUUACCACAGUCACAUUAAUAUAUACUGACAGGUUACCAUAGUAACAUUAAUAUAUACUGACAGGUUACCAUAGUCACCACAUUAAUAUAUACUGACAGGUUACCAUAGUCACCACAUUAAUAUAUACUGACAGGUUACCAUAGUCACAUUAAUAUAUACUGACAGUUUACCAUAGUAACCACAUUAAUAUAUACUGACAGGUUACCAUAGUCACCACAUUAAUAUAUACUGACAGGUUACCAUAGUCACCACAUUAAUAUAUACUGACAGGUUACCAUAGUCACCACAUUAAUAUAUACUGACAGGUUACCAUAGUCACAUUAAUAUAUACUGACAGGUUACCAUAGUCACAUUAAUAUAUACUGACAGGUUACCAUAGUCACCACAUUAAUAUAUACUGACAGGUUACCAUAGUCACCACAUUAAUAUAUACUGACAGGUUACCAUAGUCACCACAUUAAUAUAUACUGACAGGUUACCAUAGUCACCACAUUAAUAUAUACUGACAGGUUACCAUAGUCACCACAUUAAUAUAUACUGACAGGUUACCAUAGUCACCACAUUAAUAUAUACUGACAGGUUACCAUAGUCACAUUAAUAUAUACUGACAGGUUACCAUAGUCACCACAUUAAUAUAUACUGACAGGUUACCAUAGUCACAUUAAUAUAUACUGACAGGUUACCAUAGUCACAUUAAUAUAUACUGACAGGUUACCAUAGUCACCACAUUAAUAUAUACUGACAGGUUACCAUAGUCACCACAUGAAUAUAUACUGACAGGUUACCAUAGUCACCACAUUAAUAUAUACUGACAGGUUACCAUAGUAACCACAUUAAUAUAUACUGACAGGUCACCAUAGUCACCACAUUAAUAUAUACUGACAGGUUACCAUAGUCACAUGAAUAUAUACUGACAGUUUACCAUAGUCACCACAUGAACAUAUACUGACAGGUUACCAUAGUCACCACAUUAAUAUAUACUGACAGGUUACCAUAGUCACCACAUGAAUAUAUACUGACAGGUUACCAUAGUCACCACAUUAAUAUAUACUGACAGGUUACCAUAGUCACCACAUUCAUAUAUACUGCCAGGUUACCACAGUCACAUUAAUAUAUACUGACAGGUUACCACAGUCACAUUAAUAUAUACUGACAGGUUACCAUAGUCACCACAUUAAUAUAUACUGACAGGUUACCAUAGUCACCACAUUAAUAUAUACUGACAGGUUACCAUAGUCACCACAUUAAUAUAUACUGACAGGUUACCAUAGUCACCACAUUAAUAUAUACUGACAGGUUACCAUAGUCACCACAUUAAUAUAUACUGACAGGUUACCAUAGUCACAUUAAUAUAUACUGACAGGUUACCAUAGUCACAUUAAUGUAUACUGACAGGUUACCAUAGUCACCACAUUAAUAUAUACUGACAGGUUACCAUAGUCACCACAUGAAUAUAUACUGACAGGUUACCAUAGUCACCACAUUAAUAUAUACUGACAGGUCACCAUAGUCACCACAUUAAUAUAUACUGACAGGUUACCAUAGUCACCACAUUAAUAUAUACUGACAGGUUACCAUAGUCACCACAUUAAUAUAUACUGACAGGUUACCAUAGUCCCACAUUAAUAUAUACUGACAGGUUACCAUAGUCACCACAUUAAUAUAUACUGACAGGUUACCAUAGUCACCACAUUAAUAUAUACUGACAGGUUACCAUAGUCACCACAUUAAUAUAUACUGACAGGUUACCAUAGUCACCACAUUAAUAUAUACUGACAGGUUACCAUAGUCCACAUUAAUAUAUACUGACAGGUUACCAUAGUCACCACAUUAAUAUAUACUGACAGGUUACCAUAGUCACCACAUUAAUAUAUACUGACAGGUUACCAUAGUCACCACAUUAAUAUAUACUGACAGGUUACCAUAGUCACCACAUUAAUAUAUACUGACAGGUUACCAUAGUCACCACAUUAAUAUAUACUGACAGGUUACCAUAGUCACCACAUUAAUAUAUACUGACAGGUUACCAUAGUCACCACAUUAAUAUAUACUGACAGGUUACCAUAGUCACCACAUUAAUAUAUACUGACAGGUUACCAUA
rnacentral:lncRNA from 8 species